AACGCUCAACCUCCUUUCCUUUGUGAUCGGCUGGUUGGAUCAUGGGCGCUUGCCGGCCAGGUCGGCUCGCCUGAAAUGCAUUUGCGAUGUUGUGUCCUUGUGAGUUGGCCCGACUAGGCGUGAUGGUAACGACGUUCGUCUAGGAUCCCGCUUCGGCGAGGAGCCGCUCCUGUUGGGCGUUUGCCUUCGCAUGAACACUCAUAUCUUUGG
rnacentral:misc_RNA from 1 species